UGUGUUUCUUUGUCCGAACUUGAAAUCACAGUUCGCUUCAGAUCAGAUGUCUCCAAUUGUGCCUCUGAGGAUUCUCAUUCCUACCAAUUAUCCAAAAUCAUCCCCCAUACUUCUAGACAUGUUACCAAGUGAACUGAGCAAGGAGUUCGGAGAUCUUUCUGUCAAGGCAUGGUCAAGGUUCAGAAUGUCCCUCCGUGACCUUCCACAGCCCCUUU